CAGUCAUCUUGGGAGACGAAAAAUCUGAAUUCAGAUUAGUUUAGUUUUUGGAUUACUCCUAGAAUCCCGAAAAGAUCAGACAGCUGCUUUUCCAAAAUAUGGUUCCGUUUUUACGUCCUACUUUAUGGAUGAUGUUUUAUGGAGACGGAGGCCAUUUUGAUUAAAACCUGAUAAUAAUACCUGGGUCUUCAUCAAUUAAGAAGAGAUCAGAAUGAAAGAAAAACUGUUGCUUUUAAUUUUGGUGGUAUUUUAUAUUCUUGUGUCCGAAGCUACUGAAAAGUGUCAGAAACUCAGCCUGGAAAAGCCAUUCAAUCCUGAACUGCAAUGGAUAUGCUCAAAUUUAACAAGUUUUGGGGAAAGCUGCAGACUAGGAUGCAAAGGAGAGCUAACCACUGAGAUAAAACUUAAAACUGUUUGUACUUCUUUAGGCUGGAUACCUAAGCUUCCAAAACUUACCAAUAUUUCCUGUGUCGAAGAAAUAUGUCCAGAUUUGACAAAGAAAAAGGUUUCUCAUGGAAAAUGGGAUUGCACUCUCCCACAGGAUUGUGUUGAAGAUAAAACAGGAAGCAUUUGCAAGCUAGACUGUGAAACCGGGUUUAGUCCUAGCACUGAUGUACCUAGUGUUUGUACACAACAAGGAUGGAUUCCUCAUUCUUCAAAUAUUCAUUGUAAAAAGUGUCCUGUUCAAUCAAACCCCAAGUAUGGAUCCUGGAAGUGUGGGCUCAAAGGGGAAUCUGAAGUUUGCUCACUUCAGUGCAAUAAGGGUUACAGGUCUAGAAGCCCUGCUAAUUUAAUUGUUUGCAAUGGAACCAAAUAUGAUGUUGACCCAGAGACAUUUUCUUGUGAACUGACAAGUCAGUUUUUUAAAGAACCCAGAUUCUUAAGCAAGAUGAUUACUGAAAAUGUUGAUGCUCCUUGUUUGGAACUAGAACAUCCAGAUAAUGGAAAAUGGGAGUAUAUUUCUGAAUCAGAGAGGUUGCUGUCUUGCAACCCUGGAUAUGCUAUUGCAAAACCUGUAAUUGCAAGGUGUUUUGCUGGUCAUUGGUGUUCUGAACAGCUGGGUGUUGGUUGUCAGCCUGAACCAGAAGAAGAUCAUGAAAUAAAAGAAGCAAACAGAGUUUCGGAAAACUCUACACUGGAGAAACCAUGUGAUGAUGAUAUAAAGUCUAAUAGAACAUAUGACAAUAAUGAUGUUGAUGAAGAUGACUCAGCACCAAACAAAGAUUUGCCAAAUAGAAAAGAAGAAGAACCUGACUCAACACCAAACAAAGAUUCGCCAAAUAGACUAGAAGGGGAAGACACCCCAGCACCAAAUAAAAAUUGGCCAAAUAGACCAGAAGGGGUAAACGCCUCAGCUCCAAAUAAAAAUUGGCCAAAUAGACCAGAAGGGGUAAACGCCUCAGCUCCAAAUAAAAAUUGGAAAAAUAGACCCAAAGGAGAAGACACCUCAGAACCAAACAAAGACUUGAAAAAUAGACUCAAAGGAGAAGACACCUUCAAACCAAACAAAGAUUCGCUUAAUAGACCAGAAGGGGAAAACACCUCAGAACCAAUUAAAGAUUUGCCAAAUAGCAUACAUGACAAUAAUGAUGUCCAAGGUGACACUUUUACUGCAAUGACGUUUCAAAGAGAUUCGAAUGUGACUGAACCAAUGGCAGAACAAACUACAACAAAUGAAAAUGAUUAUUUUAAUGCUUAUAAAGAAGCAGAACAGAACAAGACAAAUUCAGAUUUCAAAAAUAAAACAAAUGUUAUGGAGUCUUCAAUAAGUUCAGAUAUUAAAGUUAAGGAUGAGAAACCACCAAGUUUAGAUAAUUCUGAAACACCUAAAAUUGAAAAUACUUCGGAUAUAAUUCUUGAUAAAGAAGGACUUAUAGGUGACUUUAAACCAUCUGGAUUAAAGGAGAACACACAGGAAAUUCCUGAAAAUGAAUCGGCUCAAAAUAAAUCAUUGAAAAUAAAAUAUUUUAUACCUAAGAUACAUUCAUUACCAGAAACCCUGAAUCAAAAUGACAUCUUGAUAGAUAUCCCUGGGAAAAAUACUACAUUUGAAUCCCAAAGAGACAAUGAAUCACCAGGAAAUGAUGGAACUGUUGAAGCAGGAGAAAUAAGUGACAACUCAUCUGUAGAACUAGAGUUUCCAAUUGAUUCUGAAAAUCAAAUAGAUAAAAAAGAGAAUAAUGGAAAGAAAUCUAUGGAAUUUGACAUAUUAGACCAAACCACAAGUGGAUCUACCAUUAAGGAAGAAGAAAGUAUUUUGAAUGAUCAAGAAGAAAUCAAAAAUAAAUCCCUGGAAUUUGAUAUUUUGAAGGAAACUACAACCGUUUCCAGUAUCGUAAGAGAGUUAGAUAAGUUAAUUGAUGAGGAAGAAAAUCAAAAUAAAUCGAUGCAAUAUGGAUUUUAUGAUGAUGAUCAGAAUGAUACUAAUUUUAAAAUAGAGAAAGACAUAUUACCUGAUGGGGAAGAAAAUCAAAAUAAAUCAAUGGAAUUUGAAAUUCCUAACAAAACCACAAAUGAUUUUAGCAAUGAUAAUGAGGCGGAAUUAUCAAGUCCUGGGGAUGAAUAUCAAAAUAAAUCACUGGAGUUUGGAUUCUCUGAUGAAACUACAAGUGCUUCUAGUAUCGAGAAAGAUCAAAAUCAAAAUAAAUCAAUGGAAUUGGAAAGUCCUAACAAAACCACAAAUGAAUUUAGCAAUGAUAAUGAGGUGGAACUAUCAAAUGCUGAUAAAGAAUAUCAAAAUAAAUCUAUGGAAUUGGGAUUUUCUGAUGAAACAACAAGUGCAUCUAGUAUUAAUAAUGAACUGUUAAUCGAUGGGGAAGAAAAUCAAAAUAAAUCAGUGGAAUUUGAAAUUCCUCAAAAAACCACAAAUGAUGCUAGCAAGGAAAAUGAGUUGGAACUAUCAAAUGUUGGAAAUGAAUAUCAAAAUAAAUCAAUGGAAUAUGGAUUUUCUGACGAAACAACAAAUGCAUCUAGUAUCAAUACUGAGAAAGAAUUGUUAAUUGAUGGUAAAGAAAAUCAAAAUAAAUCCCUUGAAUUUGGGUUUUAUGGCACUACAAACAAUUCUAGUAGAAGAAAAGCAAAAGAUAUUUUGAUAGCUGGGAAAGAAAACAAAAAUAAAUCAAUGGAAUUUGAGAUUUCUGAUGUAACUACAAAACGUCCAGUAAUUGAAAACACAAAAGAUAUUUUGAUAGCUGGGGAAGAAAACAAAAAUAAAUCAAUGGAAUUUGAGAUUUCUGAUGUAACUACAAAACAUUCAGCAACUGAAAACACAAAAAAUAUUUUGAUAGCUGGGGAAGAAAACAAAAAUAAAUCAUUGGAAUUUGAGAUUUCUGAUGUAACUACAAAACAUUCAACAAUUGAAAGCACAAAACAUAUUUUGAUAGCUGGGGAAGAAAACAAAAACAAAUCAAUGGAAUUUGAGAUUUCUGAUGUAACUACAAAACGUUCAACAGUUGAAAACAGAAAAGAUAUUUUAAUAGCUGGAGGAGAAAAUAAAAAAAAAUCAAUGGAAUUUGAAGUUUCUGAUGAAACUUCAAAUGAUUCUUAUAAUGCAACAGGGAAUGAUGUAUUAUUAGAAAAAGACAAUAAUAAAAACAACUCCAUGGAUUUUGAGUUCUCAGACAACUCAAAAAAUAAUUCAAAAACUUCUUAUAAUUCGGAAAGUGUAGAGUUUUCCGGUAAAAAAGAAACAAAAGAAAACAUUUCAAUGGAAGUAGAGUUUCCUGGAGAGAAUCAGAGAAAUUAUGCAACUACCAAUGAGACAUCUAACAAUAUUUUAACUGCAGAUGAAGAAAUAUUGCUGGCUAAAGAGAAGGCUAAGAAUACUACUAUGGAACUAGAGUUCCCAGCAGACUCUGAAAAUGCCUCAGAAAAUCAGAAUAUUAGCAGAAAUUCAACUUAUCAAAGUAAUAAAGAUGUUUCAAUAUUAACAAGUGAUUUGAUCAUUGACCCUAACAGUGUGUCUGGGAGCUUUGAGACAACAUUGGACUCAAAUGAUAGUUAUUCAGCAAACUGCAGUAGUCCACAUCACCCCAAAUCUUCCCUUCAGUUCUCUUGCUUCCCAGACCUUCCUCCACACUUGUCCUGCAGAAUUAUUUGUCCUCAAAAUUUUCAACCAUACGUGAAUAUGAUCAACUGUCUCUCAAAUGGUACAUGGGAUGUGGAAUCAGAACUGAAAUGUUUAAAGUGUGACAAGAACGCAGUUAAACAUAAGCAUAAAUGCUUCUGCAAGAUUGGAUAUAGUGGAGACGGUUUAUUGUGUGGCGUAGACUCUGAUCUUGAUAAUAUUCCUGAUGAGGAUAUACCAGGAUGCCAGGGUCCAUUUUGCUCCAAGGAUAAUUGCAAAGACAUUGACAAUCCUGAUCAAUUAGAUACUGAUGGAGAUGGGGAGGGAAAUGCAUGUGAUGACGACCUGGACGAUGACGGAGUCCUAGACAAAAAUGAGUUUCAAGCUAAUAUAAGAUGUACAGAGGAAGAGAUGGAAAAAAUAACCCGAGAAAUAGAGGCUUAUGGUGAGGAAAAACAUAAUGGUUCUGCAGUUACUAAACAGGGGGAAAAACAGCUAAGAAAAAGGGAGCUUUUGUGCCAAACAAACUUAGAAAGUCCUGACAAUUGUCCACUGACAAAGAAUCCUGGUCAAGAGGAUAGAGAUGGUGACCUAGCUGGAGAUGCUUGUGAUAACUGUCCUCGUCUCUUCAACUGGAAGCAAAAAGACACUGAUGGUGAUGGAAUCGGAGAUUUAUGUGACGAUGAUAUGGACGGAGAUGAAGUUAAUAAUGAAAAAGAUAACUGCAUCUUAGAUAGCAACCCGGACCAGAAAGAUUCAGACGAAGAUGGGUUCGGAGACCAAUGUGACAAUUGUAAAGAUUUCAAAAAUCCUGAUCAGAAAGACGGGGAUAGAAAUGGAGUAGGGGAUGCAUGUGAAGCUGGCGAAGAUAUGGAUGGGGAUGGUUUCUACACGUCAGACAACUGUAAAAUUGUUUCCAACAUAAAUCAAUGGGAUACAGACAAGGACGGUGAGGGGGAUGCCUGUGAUCCAGAUAUAGAUAAUGAUGGAAUUCCAAAUGAAAAGGAUAACUGUCUUUUUAUACCUAAUCCAGACCAGGAACCUUCUAAACGGAAUAAGCUAGUUGGAAAAGCAUGUGAAAAAGAUAGGGAUGGAGACGGGGUCCUAGAUUCUGCUGAUGUUUGUCCAAAUAAUCCAGCAAUAUCAGAUCAACAUUUUGAUAAAACGAACUUGGAGCUGAUCAAUUAUUGCGAGUUUGCUGAACAGGAAGGUCUUAAAAACCUAACUAUUUGCGAGAAACCCAAUCCCAACUGGGAAGAUAGAAGAAAUGGAACUCAAUUAUUUCAGGCUGUGAACAGUAGGGCUGCCAUUGUUCUAAACAGAAGAAACUUGUUUGAAAAUGUUCAGUACAACGGAACUUUUUAUGUAAAUGAUGAAACAGAUAAUGAUUGGCUUGGCAUUGUGUUUGGAUUUAAAAAUGUGUUCAACUUUUAUAUAAUUAUUGCCAACAAACAUCCAUUAGGAAUUCGGACAUAAAGGGUUCCGGUGCAAUGUGGUGGUCUGUGAAGAAAAUUAAUAUGAGAAAUGUAUCUGACCAUGGUCAAGCUUAUAAAAAGAUUCUGGGUGCAAUGAUCUCACAGGAUUCUAAAGAUGAUUAUGCUGUUAAUCUGUGGGAGGAUGCGAAGAAACAUCAAUGGAGAGAGAAAACUCCAAUUCAGUGGAGUAUAAACUAUAUUCCAACACAGGGUAAAAUUCAACUGAAGAUGGUGAGAGAUGGUGAAACUAUUAUUGAAUCCGGUGAUAUUUUAGAUCCUGAUCCUAUUCCAGGAGGAAAGAUUGGAAUGUACGUGAACAGUCAGAAGAAUGUCCUUUUCUCAGAAUUAUCCUUUAAAUGUCUGGAACCUGAUAUCAAGGAUUCUGGAAGAGGGUAUGCAAAGAAGAAUGAUAAUGUUGAGCAAGAAAAAAACAAAUGAGAAUGCAAAUUAAACUUUAAAUAAAGAUAAUAAUAACACACACGUGUAUGUAAAACAAAACUAUGUUGAAUGUGAAGAAAAAACAAAUGAGAAUGCAAAUUAAACUUUAAAUAAAGAUAAUAAUAACACACACGUGUAUGUGAAACAAAACUAUGUUGAAUGUGAAAAAAAAACAAAUGAGAAUGCAAAUUAAACUUUAAAUAAAGAUAAUAAUAACA